GGGGGUGACUUGGCUUCGACGUGGAUUACAAAACCUUAGGUGCAUGCCGAGGUGCGGAUUACCUCGUAAAACAAUUCGCAAUCUUAUAGUUGCCAACGACGACAACUACGCUCUGGCUGCUUAAGUCAGCCAGCCUCUGACCAGGGUUUGCUUACGGACGCUGACUCAGGGGUAACACAAUCAUAAGCUCGCGAGGAGGCACGUCCGGGGCCGAAUCGCUAAAAAUCACGGAAUCGCCGUUCUCUCGCCCUGCCGUUCGGGUGAAGCGCGGUUAAAAAUCAAUAGAGCCGGAUAAGCAUGUAGAGCCGAGGGCGGAGGAUUUGCGGACGCGGGUUCAAUUCCCGCCACCUCCACCA
rnacentral:tmRNA from 1 species